CGUCUAUUUAUUAGAAAUAAUUUAAUUAGAAGUGGUGUACAGGUGAGUAAACGAUAUUAUGGCUACCUUGGAGUAAGGGACAUUAAAAUACCUUAUAUAAUACAAAAAAUAUGUAUAAAAAGAAAUUUAUUUUCGCUCCUAGAUGGAAAUUAAUAUCUCGGGCAGGUAGUAGUUAAGGUAAUGGCUUAACUAGCUUAUGUCCGUAGUCGAGACUGAGAGGUCGAUCGAUCACAUUGGGUCUGAAAAAACCCCAAUACGUAUAGUACAGCAGUGAGGAAUAUUGGUCAAUGGCCUAACGGCUGAACCAGCAACUUGGGGGAAUGGAUAUAUAUAUUAGAUAUAAUAUAUAAUACCGACUCUGUCGGAUAAAGUUCUAGAUAGAAGAAUGAUAAUGACAAUUUUCUAUCUAUAUGUCUUGACCAAAUCUUGUGCCAGCAGUCGCGGCAACACAAGGGAGACUAGUGUUAUUCAUCUUUAUUAGGUUUAAAGGGUACCUAGACGGUAUAUCAAGCCCCAAAAGGGAACGGGUAUACUAGAGUUUUAUGUGAGAGGCAAAUAUAGUACUAUUGGUGUAGAGAUAAAAUUCAUUGAUACCUCUAGGCACGGGUAACGGCGAAGGCAAUCCUCUAUGUAAAAACUGACGUUGAGGGACGAAGGCUUGGGGAGCGAAUAGGAUUAGAUACCCUAGUAGUCCAGGCAGACAAUUAUGAAUGUCAUAGAUUAGAUUAUAAUAGUAAGAAAUAAGAAAGAGAGUAAGAUAAUUACU
rnacentral:rRNA from 1 species